rnacentral:rRNA from 1 species
ACGGCUCAGUAACACGUGGACAACCUACCCUUGGGUCUGGCAUAAUCCUGGGAAACUGGGUAUAAUUCCAGAUAGGUCACAGAUGCUGGAAUGCACUGUGGCCGAAAGCUCCGGCGCCCAAGGAUGGGUCUGCGGCCUAUCAGGGUUGUAGUGGGUGUAACGGACCUACUAGCCUACGACGGGUACGGGUUGUGAGAGCAAGAGCCCGGAGAUGGAUUCUGAGACACGAAUCCAGGCCCUACGGGGUGCAGCAGGCGCGAAAACUUUACAAUGCGGGAAACCGUGAUAAGGGAAUCUCGAGUGCCAGCAUAUAAUGUUGGCUGUCCAGAUGCCUAAAAAGCAUCUGUUAGCAAGGGCCGGGCAGGACCGGUGCCAGCCGCCGCGGUAACACCGGCGGCCCGAGUGGUAACCGCUUUUAUUGGGUCUAAAGGGUCUGUAGCCGGCCAAGUAAGUCCCUUGGGAAAUCUGGCAGCUUAACUGUCAGGCUGCUAGGGGAUACUGCUAGGCUUGGGACCGGGAGAGGUGAGAGGUACCUUGGGGGUAGGGGUGAAAUCUUGUGAUCCUCGGGGGACCACCAGUGGCGAAGGCGUCUCACCAGAACGGGUCCGACGGUAAGGGACGAAAGCUAGGGGCACGAACCGGAUUAGAUACCCGGGUAGUCCUAGCCGUAAACGAUGCUCGCUAGGUGUCAGUCACGGUGCGACCGUGAUUGGUGCCGUAGGGAAGCCGUGAAGCGAGCCACCUGGGAAGUAUGGCCGCAAGGCUGAAACUUAAAGGAAUUGGCGGGGGAGCAC